AUGCUGCCGGCGCCGUCGCGGGCGGCGGCCGCGGGCGACGACGUCGAGGCGCGCACGCGGGAGCUGCAGGCGCUGGAGCGGCAGAAGGCGGUCAUCGACGCCAAGGCAGCGGCGCAGGUGCGGCGGGAGCUGUGGUGCGGGCUGGGCCUGCUGGCGGCGCAGACGCUGGGGUUCAUGCGGCUCACCUUCUGGGAGCUGUCGUGGGACGUGAUGGAGCCCGUGUGCUUCUACGUCACGUCCAUCUACUUCAUGUCCGGCUACACCUUCUUCAUGCGGACGGCCACGGAGCCGUCCUUCGAGGGCUUCUACCGGAGCCGCUUCGCCACGAGGCAGCGCCGCCUCAUGCGGGCCCGCCAGUUCGACGUCGCCCGGUACAACGCUCUGAAGCAAGGCGAGCGGCGCGGCGGCUCCGGCUCUGCCGGGCAGAGCGAUCACGGCGAGUGCGACGCCGACGUGCUUAGGCACGCCACGCACGCACAUCAGUAG
rnacentral:rRNA from 1 species